AUUGAACGCUGGCGGCAUGCUUUACACAUGCAAGUCGAACGGUAACAGGCCUUCGGGCGCUGACGAGUGGCGAACGGGUGAGUAAUGCAUCGGAACGUGCCCAGUCGUGGGGGAUUACGUAGCGAAAGCUGUGCUAAUACCGCAUACGAUCUAUGGAUGAAAGCGGGGGACCGUAAGGCCUCGCGCGAUUGGAGCGGCCGAUGUCAGAUUAGGUAGUUGGUGGGGUAAAGGCUCACCAAGCCAACGAUCUGUAGCUGGUCUGAGAGGACGACCAGCCACACUGGAACUGUGACACGGUCCAGACUGCUACGGGAGGCAGCAGUGGGGAAUUUUGGACAAUGGGCGCAAGCAUGAUCCAGCAAUGCCGCGUGCAGGAAGAAGGCCUUCGGGUUGUAAACUGCUUUUGUACGGAACGAAACGGCGAGCUCUAAUACAGUUUGCUAAUGACGGUACCGUAAGAAUAAGCACCGGCUAACUACGUGCCAGCCGCCGCGGUAAUAC
rnacentral:rRNA from 1 species